UACGAAGGGGGCUAGCGUUGUUCGGAAUUACUGGGCGUAAAGCGCACGUAGGCGGGUCUGUAAGGAGAGGGUGAAAUCCCAGGGCUCAACCCUGGAACUGCCUUCUAGACUGCAGGCCUCGAGGUCAGGAGAGGCGAGUGGAAUACCGAGUGUAGAGGUGAAAUUCGUAGAUAUUCGGUGGAACACCAGUGGCGAAGGCGACUCGCUGGACUGAUACUGACGCUGAGGUGCGAAAGCGUGGGGAGCAAACAGG
rnacentral:rRNA from 1 species